rnacentral:tRNA from 1 species
GCCUUCAUAACUCAUUUGGUAGAACAUUCGCCUAGAUAGCGAAAUGCCCCCAGUUCAAACCUGGAUAAAGGCA